rnacentral:rRNA from 1 species
CCUACGGGGGGCAGCAGUGGGGAAUAUUGCACAAUGGGGGAAACCCUGAUGCAGCGACGCCGCGUGAGUGAAGAAGUAUUUCGGUAUGUAAAGCUCUAUCAGCAGGGAAGAAAAUGACGGUACCUGCCUAAGAAGCCCCGGCUAACUACGUGCCAGCAGCCGCGGUAAUACGUAGGGGGCAAGCGUUAUCCGGAUUUACUGGGUGUAAAGGGAGCGUCGACGGUGAUGCAAGUCAGAAGUGAAAGCUCGGGGCUCAACUCCGGGACGGCUUUUGAAACUGUGUGACUGGAGUGCAGGAGAGGUAAGCGGAAUUCCUGGUGUAGCGGUGAAAUGCGUAGAUAUCAGGAGGAACACCAGUGGCGAAGGCGGCUUACUGGACUGUAACUGACGUUGAGGCUCGAAAGCGUGGGGAGCAAACAGGAUUAGAGACCCUUGUAGUC